rnacentral:misc_RNA from 1 species
UACAUAGUUUAGUGAAUACCCUUGUAAAGCUUCUAUAGGUUUUGCAACUCAUCCAUUCUCUUAACUUUCAUAUGUUAGCGAAGGCCAUUACAAGUCUUCGAUAAGUUUUCCAGGCUAGCUUCUUCCUUUGACUAUUCCAGCUAAGGUGAAGUUACUGUGAGCAUACUACCUCUACAGACAACACAAACCCAAUGCAAUCAAAGCCGCGGCAUCUUUAUGGAACACUAAGUUGCAACAUCUUUUUG